UACGGGGGGAGCAAGCGUUGUUCGGAUUUACUGGGCGUAAAGGGCGCGUAGGCGGUCAUCCAAGUCGCUUGUGAAAUCUCCGGGCUCAACCCGGGGCGGCCGAUCGAUACUGGGCGACUGGAGUGCGGAAGGGGCAACCGGAAUUCUCGGUGUAGCGGUGAAAUUCGUAGAUAUCGGGAGGAACACCUGCGGCGAAGGCGGGGUGCUGGGCCGUCACUGACGCUGAGGCGCGAAAGCCAGGGGAGCGAACGGG
rnacentral:rRNA from 1 species